GGAGAGGAUACACUACAGUCGCAUUUGGUCUGCCCACCUCACUGACCCUUAGUGAGCUGGGCAUUGUGAGGCAUACAGUCUGUUCUUUGUGAGGGAAGAUAUUAUGGGUGCAUGUGGAGAGGGAAGCAAAUGGAUGCUCCGGGAUUGACCAAAUUGAGCAAGAGGGGAACUUCAGGGAUAUAGCAAGAAAUUCAGACUGGCUGGCAACUUUCUCUGGAACAGACACUUCCUUUGACCAGCUAUGGAAGUCUACUCGGCUGUAAGCAGACACAAGACAUAGUCUGUUCUCCCUCAUGCUUAGAAUGUGAACCCAGGUUGGGACAAGAUCUGUGUCUGACCUGAACACCUUCUAUCUAUCACAAGCGCUUAGUGCCCAGCACAUGGGCCUCAGGAUAAAGAAGUCAUCUUACAGAUGAUUCAAGAAUGAAAAAACUACAUUCAGUUUGAGAAUGAAAAAUGAACUGCUUGGACUAUGAGGACAUGUUUAGAAUUUACACAAUAAAAUCAUUGAAUAGUCAACUAA